rnacentral:tRNA from 2 species
GCCCCUGUAUUCCAACCGGCAGAGAAGAUGGUCUCAAACACCAUACAGUGUGGGUUCGAAUCCCACCGGGGGCACCA